UCCAUAAAUGGAAAGGCGGAAGCUGUUUUUCAUGACUUUGAAGUGUGCGAAAUAUUUUCGAUUUCUCUUCUGUCAGCAACGGUUUACUAAGCCAAACCACCUAAAAGGAAUUGGAAGAUCACACAUAGAGACCAAAAACAACAACACAACAACUGUUCUUCGCUGAACUGAGCUGAGAGAUUCAACGCGCUUGAAAACAGACGCCGAAGUUGUGGUUUUUCGGCUUAACAGUGGUUUUAGGGUUCACAGUGUCGUGGCAACAACGUAAAAUUGGACAUAACCUCAUACAGAAAAGGCAUGAACUCUCGAGGUAUGGAAGUCACGGCCAACAGACUGGAUCUCAGCGUUCCCUUCCUCUCUUUUGUCCCAGGGGUCUGUCUGUGGCAUCCAUCCAGGUCGAACUCGCAGUUCCAUGUACCAGGAUGAUUUGUGGGGCUCACUGAAGGGCGAAGUGGGAUUCCACCAG